UGGGGAAUAUUGCACAAUGGAGGGAACUCUGAUGCAGCAACGCCGCGUGCGGGAUGACGGCCUUCGGGUUGUAAACCGCUUUCAGCCAUGACGAAGCUUUUGUGACGGUAGUGGUAGAAGAAGCACCGGCUAACUACGUGCCAGCAGCCGCGGUGAUACGUAGGGUGCGAGCGUUGUCCGGAAUUAUUGGGCGUAAAGAGCUUGUAGGCGGUUUGUCGCGUCGAUAGUGUAAACACGCGGCUUAACUGUGUGCCUGCUGUCGAUACGGGCUGACUAGAGGGGGGUAGGGGAGAAGGGAAUUCCCGGUGGAGCGGGGGAAUGCGCAGAUAUCGGGAGGAACACCAGUGGCGAAGGCGGUUCUCUGGACCUUUCCUGACGCUGAGAAGCGAAAGCGUGGGUAGCAAACAGG
rnacentral:rRNA from 1 species